GAUGAAGAACGUAGCGAAAUGCGAUAAGUAAUGUGAAUUGCAGAAUUCAGUGAAUCAUCGAAUCUUUGAACGCACAUUGCGCCCGCCAGUAUUCUGGCGGGCAUGCCUGUCCGAGCGUCAUUUCAACCCUCGAACCUCUCCGGGGGGUCGGCGUUGGGGAUCGGCCCUUUACGGGGCCGGCCCCGAAAUACAGUGGCGGUCUCGCCGCAGCCUCUCCUGCGCAGUAGUUUGCACACUCGCAUCGGGAGCGCGGCGCGUCCACAGCCGUUAAACACCCCAAACUUCUGAAAUGUUGACCUCGGAUCAGGUAGGAAUACCCGCUGAACUUAAGCAUAUCAAUAAGCGGAGGA
rnacentral:misc_RNA from 1 species